rnacentral:rRNA from 1 species
GGGAGGCAGCAGUGGGGAAUUUUGCGCAAUGGGCGAAAGCCUGACGCAGCAACGCCGCGUGAGGGAUGAAGGCCUUCGGGUUGUAAACCUCUUUUCCCAGGGACGAUAAUGACGGUACCUGGGGAAGAAGCCACGGCUAACUACGUGCCAGCAGCCGCGGUAAUACGUAGGUGGCGAGCGUUGUCCGGAUUUACUGGGCGUAAAGAGCACGCAGGCGGUCGUUCAAGUCGAAUGUGAAAGCCCCCGGCUUAACUGGGGAGGGUCAUUCGAUACUGAUCGACUUGAAGGCGGGAGAGGGAAGCGGAAUUCCCGGUGUAGUGGUGAAAUGCGUAGAUAUCGGGAGGAACACCAGUGGCGAAGGCGGCUUCCUGGCCCGUUCUUGACGCUCAUGUGCGAAAGCUAGGGGAGCAAACGGGAUUAGAUACCCCGGU